rnacentral:lncRNA from 1 species
UGAUGAUCUACAACUCCCUUGGUCUUCCUUGCACCAUGACCCAUUGCCCUAGUGUGCCAUAAACAGAGUGGGAUCAACCAUAUGAAAAGCCAUUGAUCGUUGUGAAAGAAGGGGAGAUGUUAAUGUAGCUAGGGUUUUCUCUGUUCAAGAAAUGUGUAGUAAGGGGGGAAAGGUAGGAGAACCCUGAGCAAGGGAAGCGAACACACUAAAUGAUGAGUAGACUAGCGGAGGGGAGACAAUAGACAUGAUCACCUGCAAGGAUGUCAGUGAACUCUCCAAUGUUUCGUCAUUGAACUCCGACGCCAUGAUACGCUAGGGCUGAGACCAACAAAUGAGAGAAGAGGGAGGUGGAGUAACGUGUCCCUAGUGAUCUUUUGCCCCCCCACAAUUGGUGAAACAGCCUGAGCGACAGGAUGAGAAGUUGGAAAGCCACGAUUGAGUCAUCCCAUGGAAAGGCACGGAGAAUGGAGUGGGAAUUGACAAUUCAAUAGGUGUGUCUUGAGUGAUGACAGUUCUGGCAAUGGAUGGGGUUUGGGUAGAAAGGCCUAGUAUGGGCCGAGGAGAAACAUUUGGAACAUGGGCUAGGGGAUAGCAAGGCAUGCAAAGCCUUCACAAGAGUGCCAUUAGCCCAAUGGAAGACCCCCUUUGAUUUGGGCAACAUUUUGGAAGGCCCAACAGGAAAAUGGCCAUUACCAAAAAUUAGCCAGAAAAAUCGACUAUCUAGCCAGAGACAAGAAAAAAUGAGUGCGAAGGGAGGAAGCCACCAGCACCUUCCACAUAUAUCAGUAGGGUAAGUAAUCCUAAUUGCACCAAUUUUGGGUGGCACCAGUCGCGUGCACCAACUCUGCCAUCUUAUGCCUUGCCUCAAAAAUCAGCUUGCUCAUACCUAUGCGGCAAGUAAAUUUUGUUCCUUUUGGUGCAACCUCAGGGCAUGCCUUUUCUUGCACUAGAAUAUCGCAGGCCAAAUUAAAACUCCAUACAACCUACCAAACAGAGACAGUUGCAGCAUAUAAGUCUGGCUAGAGGCAUAUGUCUAGGUUACCAAUUAGGCUUGAAGGUGGUCAUAAAAGUAGAGUGCGCAUGAUCAUGUAUAUGAGCCUCUAUGUUUAUACUAUGAUUCAAAAAAAUAUCAAGGAAAUUUUUCACAAAUGUUUGGUCCCAGUGAACUAAUGAAUAAUGCAUGUAAGGUACUUUGAUAUAAUAUUUGCACGAAUCAUUGCAACAUUGUAGUUGGCGCUAGGUACUUUGAUCCUUUAGCUGCCUUAUAUUGCUGUAUGCUUUAUCCAAUUUCUCCACAUUGUACUUUUUUUGGUUCAGUACUACAUGAACUUGCACAAAAAUAGGCCUCAUCGUCAGGAGCUCCUUCAUGAGUAUCACAGCUUAGUACCAUUAAGCCAACGGCUAUAGAAAGCCAAUGAUUCCUGUGGUUUAUACUCAGGAACUGUGUGCCCAGAACCCUGCGAGAGGAACAAACAGGAUAGAUAAAAAAGGCAACUUUGUUUUUUUGUGUUUCAAAAAUGUGUCAUUAGAUGUAAUUUGUUUUUGAUUUGGCAGGGUAGUAUCAUGUUUGUGAAUCUAUGGAUUAAUUGACAAAGUUCAAUUUGAAAUUGUACCACACCUUAAUCGUGGUGAAAGUAAGGCCGUUUUCAUAUCCUUGGGUGUACCUGAGUAGUAUAACAUGCAAAAAUAUGUGAGUAGAGCAACAUGUCCUUAAUUUCUUUCCUUGCGAACAUACAAUCAUUUGACUGAAACAAUGGAACAUAAAUAAACCAUUUAACUGAAGAUUUCUCUUAUGAAAGAACUUUUAACUUUUGUUGGUUAUUUUGAAGAAUAAUUCAACCACUAGGAUAUUGUGAUUUGAAGAUCUUAGGAGAAAAGAGUCAAUGUGUGUUCAAAUACCCAGCUACUUGUUCAUUAACAAUCCAUUGUCGCCAUGAAUCAAUGAUGCCGUAGCCUAAAGAUGCAGUCCAUGCUUCAGUCCCAGUGUGAGGUACGCACAUAUCAUGGUCACCGCUGAAACAAUUGCAAAAGAAAUAUCACAAUGAUAACCGCAACUUUUCUGGGUCUAAAAAUGUAAGAGCCUAAAUCAUAUAAUUUUAUAGGUUCUUAAAGUACCUGUAAAUCAAAGCACGAUAACCCUGGCUUGUAAGGUUCUUGUGAUAAAUUAUCAUACUCCCAGCAUCAUGAUCAAAAUCUAUUUUAUCUGUGCAUAAUUGCCAGGGUCCAAUUGAACUGACCUAAUAUAUGUGCAUGAUAAACUAUGGUUAGAAGGUGGAAAGCUUUACAAUAGGUCCAAUAAGUACAAGGUGGUUAUUUAGUGUAUGACUAUCAUACUGGUUCAGCAUGAAUCGCAGAUCUGACGUUAUCAUUGUUUAGCCAUGCUGUUGCAACUUCAUCACUCUGAAAAUUAAGAAAACAAGACAGUGAAGGUACAUAAGAAAAUGGGAUAAAAUGAAUCAUGCUUUGUUUGUGACAAAAAAAAUUACACCUCUAUAUUUCAGCGAAGAUAAAGCUGGAAGAUGUGCCUGCCUUAUUUACAUAGUAUAAUCGGAGAAGAUAAAGAUAAAUGAACUAAAUAAGUGUGUUGAAUUGCACAUUUUAGUAUUACUGUAUUACGAGUUUACGAUGCUAGCUCACAUACAUAUAUGGUGAUCUAUAGUGGGAUGUUUUACACAUUGACUAAGCAUAUCUAGAUUUGCUUCAUGAAUAUAUUUUUUAUUUCUACCUUUCAAUAUUGUGAUAGAAACUAUGGUCAAAUUUGUAAGUAAAGAGGAUGGAAGCAACCAAUGACAUCUGUAAAGAAAAUGAGAGAGUACAAAAAGAGGUAAGGAGCAACCUCUGGAGCAAAACAUUAAUGUUAUGACAGAUAAUAGAGUUAUAGUGGGGGUGGUUAGUGUGCUUGUCCUCACCAUACAUGGAACUCCACGGGGAACUGAUGCAGCUAGCUCCUGCCAUGAUGGAACACGCCCAUCUCUUACAGGAGCUCUCAAAGGCCAGGCCCGUCCAUGCAUUCUAUUUCUUACUGGAAGGGGCUUGCUAGUUACACCAAGAUCUUUGAAACUUGGAGGAAGUUUGUUACUUUGUGGGAUACCUUCUUUGGUGUUUGUACCAUGGUAGCAUGGCUCAAGAAUGUCAUAAAUAUUUAAUCCAUCAAGUGCCUACACAAAAACAUCAACAUAUAAUACAAAGAAUAUAGUAUUUCUUUAUUUUACUAGACAGUGUCAGGUUUACCGUAUCGACUUUUGACAGCGCAUCGUCGCAUUUUGCACUACUAGAAUUCCAGUAACUUCCUUGACAUGCAGUGUUGGCUUCCUACAUUUUGUAUAGAAAUUCUUUUUUUAAGAUAAAGGAAUGAAACAUUCCGGCCUUCACAUUUUGUAUAGAAAUUAUGGUAAAUCGAAAGAACAUAUGUAUGUUUCAAUGGACACAAAAAGAUUUAGAAGUAUUUUGUGUAUUCAAAGGAUAUGAAUGAAGUGUUCCAAUACAAUCAAUACAACAUCAUGGUGUAAUUAAAGAAAUUAUUUCAGGAUGAGGAUAUCCGUUGGGGUAUAGUCAUACUGAUGUACCUUGUAUAUACUCUCUGAAAUUAGAGCCAUUCCGUGUGCAAAUGGCACAAGAGCGUUACCAUCAAAGACGGUGUCGCAUACACCAUUGCCAACCAUGUAGCCCUAACACAAGAAUACAACAAAACUUUAAACAUUAUUAUAUAUAUUUCCUUGGUAACCAUGUUCGCCGUUCCCAUGAAGGCAGCGAUAAUAUAAUAAAAAUUACUAACCUUAAAGUUUAUAGUUGGCUUAUCUCCUUUGUGGAUUCCUGUAAAAUAAUUGUCAGUAACAAGAAUAUCAAAAUAACUAGCAGUUUAAGGAUCAUUACUAUCCCAAAGACAAAACCUUUGACAACUUCAUGUGAAAGGGUAGGGACAUAAACUCCAGCAUAUGACUCUCCAGCUAUAUAAAAUGGAUUUUUCAAGAACUCAGGGUAGAGUUGGAACCACUGGUUAAAUGUAACGGAAAGGGAACUGAUCAGCUUUUUGUUCGAUAAAAAGAUUAUCAAUGAUAAUGAUAAAUUCACUAAUGUGCCCAACACAAAAGAACAUAUAUAUUUACCUUGAGAAGAAAAGUAUGCGAAUCAGCAGCAGUCUUAAGAUCACCAGUUUCAUAAUCUGAAACAUUCUUGGAGUAAGACAGCCCAACACCAGCAGGGGAGUCCAAGUAUAUCACACUAGACACCUACAAUGCAAGGGAAACAUCACUAUUCUGUCUCAGUUUAGAUCUUGAACACCAGAUAAUUUAUCCUUAGGACUAACAGAAAUGUCCAACCUUAGACCAGCUAUAAGGGUUGAGAUGAAGCUUUGGCAAGCUUCCAGCUGACCCUCCUGCCUCAAAGUUGAAUGGUCCUGGACCCCAAAAAAACACUCAUUAAUUGGGAUGAAAGAUGUUAGAGUGUAUAGGCGUCUCCAAUUUGAGUUAGUUCCUCUACUUAUUGUCAUAAGUUGAGAUUCAGGUUCUAUGGCCAUAAACUCUAUUAUUUUGCUACACAAUGCCCUUGAUAUGCUCAUGCCACUAAUUAUACAUCCUCUGUUGCGCAACAGUGCCCCCCCCCUAGAGAGGGAGGCGUGCAAACACAGUGACUUCAUGGGUCAGCAUGUUGCUUGAGGGUGCAUGCAGCUUGGGUCAGAAUUGUACCAUGCCUGAGCAGUGAGCACCUACCAGCUGCUCCAUAGUGUUUUAUUAAUUUACCUCUAGUUGUCGUGUUGGCCGAAGCUAUGCAUACACUAAUUCCCUUUAGUAUCAAGAAUGGAUAGUAGUUUGUUGUUGAUUCGUCAAGACCUGAAUGUGGUGCCUAGACUUUGAAUGUGGGGGAGUGGAGACAAUCUAGAGACCGAUAGAACCAUGAUAUGAAGAGGACUUGCAAUGGCGGGGUUCCAAAUAUUUUGGCGUGUUAGAGAAGCGUGGCCCUGCUGGCCACCUCUGGUUCCACCACUACCCCCCCCCCAACAGCCACCCACCCAAGAUCACCCAUGAUAAUGUUGGCCAUGGACAACAGGUCCACCAUACCUAGGCCUCUCGCCACCAGACGUGUUGAAUGAUCACCCUAGAGAGUCUUUUCUUGGUCAGAUAACUAGGGUUUUCUCUCCCACUAAUCAUUGAUUAGGGUUUCUUAUUGUUUUCCCGGUCUAACAUCAUUUUAGUUCUGAAGCCCUCAUUUUUGCAUGCCUCUACAUUGACAUCGGCUUCAACUACAUUAUUGGCCACCUCUAGCCACUGUUCACAUAAACGACCAUUUAGACCAUUUAAACGUUGUGUAAACGUUACACAGUGGUACAUCGUUUCCAUUAAAUUAGCUAUUUAGUCCGUUUAAUUGACCAUUUAGCCCGUUUAAUGGGUUGUUUAGCCCGAAUAAUGGCUAAAUGGCAGGUGACUGAUUGUUAACUGUUUAGCGUUUAGCAAAACAUUGCCUCUAGCACAUCACUCAAUGCUAGCUCAUCCUUGCCUCCUUUGUCAUCAAGUACUACACACCUCCUCUCUCCAAAUGCUACUGCAUCUUAUUGCCAUGCCACAUCAUCGUCGUCAUUAAUCGUACAUAUUAUUGGCAAUUACAUCUUAAUUGACCUAUUCCGUGCAAUUUCAUCUUAAUUGACACAAACUACAUAUGUGGCUAUGACAUUGUGCACAUCACAUGCAAUGUGUUUAGUAGGAUGUUCAUGUUCUUCACAUUGAGCAUCACUAUCAUGGCAUCCAAAACACCAGGCCUUGCAACAAAUCACCUAGACCUACCUCCUCACUUUGUCCAGUACAACCUCCUUGCUAUUCCUUGCCCAUUUCAUCUACUCCAACAACCAUGGAAUGCAUUGGUAUCUUCUACCCUACCAUUUUUACACUAUACUCAUCCUGAAGGCUUUCUCCGCUAGUACUUUAGAUGUUGAUGCAUGGUUGAGAAUCUCCCUCUAGUACAUCUAGUAUUGGCAACACAGUACCAACAGGUGCCAUUAUCCAUAACACAAUUGUAGGCAUGACAAACCUAGUGCAUACCUCGUCCAUGGUGACAUUGGCUACACCCUUGGCAUCAACUCUCCCUCAACGGCUGCCUCAAUGCAUCACAUUUAUUCAUGGUGACAUCUCCUAUGAACCACCAUACCCAUGGAAACACCUUGGGUAUCCAAGGCUUCUUGUGUGGCCAACUCAUCUUUGAAAACUUAGACAUCUCUGUUGACCACAACUAUCAUACACAUGACAUGCAUCCUCGAGAACAUCAACAUACGCACAAAGGCCUAUCAUGAUAUUGCCCUGCUUGAGUAACAUUUUAGCUUCACUACAUCCAACAUCUACGAUGAAUGGACCAUUAUGACUGCAAGGGGUGAUAACUCUUCGAGUUACAACCUUAGGCUUGUAUGUGACAUUCCCACUAUGAAUGUUGCGAAAAUGUUAGAAUAUAUAUUUAAGCUUAGGCUCACACUUAUUGCUUGAUCCAAGGGCCUAUAUAGGACUUAGUAUGAGAGGUAGAGUUGUGUGCUCUUUGCAUGCUGGAGCCUAGUGACUCACCGGCCAUGUCAACGACAAGGAAACCCUUUGAUGACGAAGCGCCACAGUGGACUGCGUCAAUGUGAUUAGGAGACUAGGGCGUCCCAAAGGUGAGGGUCUCAUGAUGAGAGCAUAUUCGAGAGCUCUAAUAUUGGUAACGCCGCUUCUUUGAAGUUUGCUCUUUGCUCACUUGAUAUUUACUUACGUCGCUUAUGUUUUAUGUGUUUGUGUGUCUUCUACCUUUCUAUAUUAAUUGGGAUAGAUGAUAUGAUUAGCUAUAUAUAGGUUGCAGAACGCUUUGUGAAUGGGUAGGUAGAGACACUAGAUAAUUUCUAGGUGCACUUCUUGCUAGUUAGUACUCCCUUCAUACAUGUAAAGAAACUCGUUUAGAACAACGACACGGUCUCCAAAGUCUAACUUUGACUCCUUGUUAUAUAAAAUAUUUAUCAAAAAGUGGUAUAUGUAUAUUUGUAUGUAAGUAUUUUUCAAGACAAAUCUAUUCGUAUGUUUUCACAUUUCCAAACUCAACAAUUUAAAAGUUAUUUUAUGAUUUAUAUUCUCAAUGUUUGACCCAAACCUUUUUGAAGAUGACUUUCUUUAUGGGUAUGGAUGAAGUGGUUAUUAUCUAGCAUAAAUCGUGUUGGAGCACUGGGUUAACUUUUUUUUAUUAGUGAUCCAAUUUACUACUCCCCUCUUGGGUCCCGUGCGCUAAGACACUACUCAUAAGAGCGCUAAAUUCUUUACAAAGAUAAGAUAAGAAUACAAAUAUUGAACAUAUAUAUCAAAGGAACACUAAAAAAAUAUGAAGUGUAUCAAAUUAUUAUAAGCACCCAAGCUUUUCUCUAUGCUUUGGAAAAGGAAUUUUUUGCCCAAAUUUUGUCUAAAUUCGGGACGUUUGCAUUGAUUUUCUUCAUAUUCCAUCUGGUAUACCCUUUUUCCUUCUCUACCUUUUUUCGUCACUUGUUAUAGCCUCUAGAAAUAUCUAUAUCGCCAUAACCCCACAUUUCUCCUGUCUUGUGGCUCCUGCCACCGGAUUUGUCAUCUGCCAGGCUAACUACUCUCAAGAUGAUUGAUGCCUUAGUCGACCUUCACCACCUUAUUAGCAACCCCUAGCGCGUGGCCACACCAUCCACACUAAACAACCUCCACUAGUAGUGUGGUCCAAUAUUUCCUCCCAUCAAGACAUCAACCCUAAGCAUGCAUAAUCCCAAAACCCUACCUUGGCUCCUGGUGCCCCACUACACAUCCGCCAAUCGCCUUCAUUGUUGAACCAAUAAUAUUUAUUUCAAGAUCCCUAUAAAACCGCAUGUUCCAAAUCCGCGGACUUAUCCCACGUCCAUAUUCUACAUAACUCUGCACGUCAGGCAAAUUUGGUCUCAUCCACUUCACAGCCCAGCCUCUCGCCACUCCAUCCAUGAAAGAAAGUUUGUUCCCCAAAAUGCUCAAUUAUUCUACAUCUUUAUUAGAUUCCUUACUCUAACAAGUUGGUUGGAAAAAAAAAGUUGCAUGGUGAGGAAAGCGGGAAAGAAAAAUGCGAUGGAGAGAUGUCAAAUAUAGACAACACUAGUAGCUAGUAGAGAAUAUCAUGAUACUAGUUUAGCUUCCCCAGAAGCAGAAGACAGCGACGUGAUAUAUCCGAUCCAGUGCGUCCGGCUACUUUGUGCGAUGACGAUGCCUAAUGUUCUUCUACUCCAGAAAGCAACAGCGCAGCAACCAGCUGCUGUCAUCGGCACCCCACCACCGCUACCUUCUUCCUCGCCUUUUCUAGCUCGAUUCCGUCCACAGCACGAACGAACGACGACAUGCCCCACAAGCAACCACGACGAUUGGCCAAACAAAAACUCGUGACGACGACAUGCACACACACGACGACCAGGCCACCGGUCGUCGUCGUGCAUGUCGUCGACGACGGAUCGAUCGGACACAACUAAGUACUACGCACCGUGCUCGUAGACGAAGCCGUCGAAGCUGGAGCAGCCAGGCCCGCCGUUGAGCCACAGCACGACGGGGUCCUUGGCGGGGUCACGCUCGGACUCCACCAGGUAGUAGAAGAGCCUCCUGCCGUGCGCCUCGUCCACCGUCACGUACCCGGCGUAGUGCUUCGACGGCAGCGCGCCGCUGCCCGCCGUGUACCCCGGGACGCUCGUCACCAGUGCACCCGGCGGCGCGGCGUGGCAGCAGCGAGCGAAAAAGGCCGAGGACACCACUACUACCACCAGCAGCAGCAGCAGCGGCGGGAGGGGUGGAGGAGCCGCGGUAGAGCCGCCGCGUGCCAUUGCUGCGAGAGUGUGUGGGAGCUCGGUGCGCGCGGAGCUAGGAGUGACGACUCCGUGCCCUGACCGGAAUGGAUGGAGCGCGUUUAAAUACAGAAGAUGAGCUGCCGGCCGGCUGCGACGUGUAUGUAGAGAGUGUGUUAAGGAAUGGUGACGUUGACGACAAAGCCGGCGGCGCCCGGCGGUUGUGUUGUGUCAGUGUGUUCGAUAUCGUACGUCAGUGUGUGUGUGUGUGUGUUGGAAUUCUCACCGUCUCAGCCUACCCACUAAGACUUGAGUCACCCAAUGCAAGUCGGCCGGGCCACGCCAGGAUAUGUUGACCAGGUGACGGAUUUUGCAAAAGGAGAAGCGAGUCAGUUGAUGUUUUCCAACACCAUCCAUGUGUAUGACGGUAUAUAAUAUGGUCUGUGCUUCUCUCGCAAGGUUUCAUAUAUAUAUAUAUAUAUAUAUAUAUAUAUAUAUAUAUAUAUAUAUAUAUAUAUAUAUAUAUAUGUUAUCUCUUCUCCUGUCGAUGCAUGGCAUAAUAUUCUCCGGCGAGCUGAGAUUAAGUAUGGAGCUGAGAUGAUGUCAUUCCGGAAGACGCCAAGUUCCACUACAACCCUAGAUUGGAAUUGAAUAGUGCAAACAAGAACGAACACUUGUAGAAGCUUUGAGUGUAGGGCAAACAUUUGUACAACCUUUAACCGGCGGCCGAACACUUGAUUACUUGUAUAUUAUUGUAAAUGUAAUGUGUAUGUACGUAUAUGUAUAGCUCUAUAAUAUAUAUAUAUAUAUAUAUAUAUAUAUAUAUAUAUAUAUAUAUAUAUAUAUAUAUAUAUAUACAUGAUAGUUUCAUACUUUAUUUGUGUGUGCAAUAAUAACGCUCUAGUAUAGGUGUAACGUAUACGAUAAUAGCAGUGAAGAAUAAAUUGGAAAACAAUAUAAUUGAAAACCAAAAUAAAAAAUGAAUUGAAAAGAAAAAGAAAAAAAAUUUAGUCCCGGUUUGUAAUACCAACCGGGACUAAAAGGGGCUGCGCCACGUCAGUUAGUGGCAUGCCCUUUUGUUCCGGUUGGUAAUACCAACCGGGACUAAAUAUCCCCUUUAGUACCGCAUCUGUGAACCAGGACUAAAAGUGGGACAUUUAGUCUUGAAACCUUUGUCCCGGCUCGCAGCCCAGGACUAAAGGCCUGUUUCAACUUUCAGUGGUAGGAAUAAUCAGGGUUUAGAACUGCCGGUGCCCGGCGGAGAACAAACAGUGUGAGCAGCAGGAAUAAUCAGGGUUUAGAGGUGCCUGUUCCCUUGAGCUUAUCUGCUGAUGAAUGUGUCAGCAGUGUUUUUCUCUUAUAAUAAAUCUGCGAACAAUACUUCCAGUCAUAACUUAUGAGUGAAACAAACAAUAGAUGGCCGGCAGCGAGAGGUCAAUUAAGUGACGCCCAUCCCAAUGAGUGGGUUGAUGACAGCUGCGAGAGUGGAUGCAGGCUCGAGAUCCGGCAACGUCUAUCGACCGCUGGAGAGAUACGAUAUGAAGAUAGGCCGAUACGGCAUGGCCAUGACGCGAAGCAAAGAUAGUGGUUAUGCACCGUGCAACAAGCAGCAAGCUAAGAUAUCAUAUGGACGGGUCGGAUGUGGGAGGAGUGGUGUGGUGUUAGUAGUGGCCACGGUGCACCAGCAACACACCAUAUGGCCGGUGAGUGUGUGUGUGUGUGAGGAGGGCAGGAAAAGGGGCACUCGUGGUGUCUAAUAAUAUCUGUAUAUGCAUGGGUGAUGGAUGGAUAUUGAAAGUUUUUUUCGCUCAAGUGGAUCGGAUCAAAUGGGAAUCGUUAUCACGGGUGCAAGUGUAGCAAUUAAUGUAAAGAUUGACCACUUUUUCCAAAUAAAGAAAGAGCUUUGUCAAGGAGACCUAGGCCUGUUAAUCUACUCUUUUGUUCAACAUUGUUGCUGACAUGCAUAUUAAUGAUCCUUAUAAAUACAGCCAAAAGAAGAACGGUAGUUAAUUGGCCUUGUUUAGUUCAAAAAAUUUUAGAAAAUUGACACCGUAGCACUUUCGUUUGUAUUUGACAAAUAUUGUUCCAAUCAUGGACUAACUAGGCUCAAAAGAUUUGUCUCGUCAAAUUCAACCAAACUGUGCAAUUAGUUUUUAUUUUCGUAUAUAUUUAAUACUCCAUGCAUACGUCUAAAGAUUCGAUGUGACGGAAAAUCUGAAAAAUUUUGCAAAAUUUUUUAGAAACUAAACAAGGCCUAAGGCUAGAUUAAAAACAACUACCAUCAACCCAUAUCCACAAACCCUAGGCCAACCUCCAGUCUCUUAUUAUACCCCCUUCAUGACACACAAUCUCUCUCUCUCUCCUCAGCCAUUGAUGCCCUUCUGGCCUUCUUCACCUGCUAUGGUUCCUCACACUAGUACAUAGAAGCUCUAUACAGCGUGGUUCCUAACCUAUUUGCACAGUCAUUUUUUAAACCGCCAGUGCUAGAGGCUAGUGGAAAUAAAUCUUUCCACGGGCGGUUAACUGCCUGUGGAAAACGAUUUUCACAUGCGGUUCAGUUAUGUCAACCGCUUGUGCAAAUGCUUGUACAGAAAAUAUAAAUUGGGUUUUAAAAAUAGGAAAAAAAAAAUUGUAGGAAAGGUCUGAAGCGUCAAGUUGCGCAUUUUUCGCGUAAAAUCAUGUCCUACACGGCUGGCGAAAUUCGAACCCACGACCUCCCCAACGCGCGUAGUCUCCUCUACCACUCCACCGAUCACUCACUUGUGUCUAUAUUAGAGUUUAGUUUCUCACAUAUUAUCCUAAAUCAAGCAUACAUUGAUUUGUUGAGGCCCUAAAUGAAUUCAAAUGAAAAAGUUGUCAACUAUAAAGUUUCAUAAAUUUUCAAGAUCUAUAACUUUUAUAAUAGUAGUUUCUCCAUCCAAGGUUAUUUACAAAAUUUGAAUUUCAAAUUUGAUAAAUUUGAAUGUAGUUUUUGAUGAUAUAUGAUUUCAAAUGAAAAUGUUAUCAGCUACAAAGGUUCACAACUUCUCGAGAUCUACAACUUUUAUUUUGAUGGUUUUUUCAUACGAGGUCAUUUGAAAACUCAAAGAAAUCAGUUUCAAAUUAUUUCUACAAGCGGUUUUCUUAACAAACCACCACUAGAAAUCUAAUUUUUAGUGGCAGUUUCUUAAGAAAGCCGUUUACAUGAUUUCUAGUGGCGGUUUUGGUAGGAAAACCGCAUGUGCAAAUCUAUUUUCACUGGCGGUUCACUUAAGAGAAUCGCUAGUGAAAAUCCACCAUUUGUACUGACGGUUUUCUCAGUGAAAAUGUGUUUCCACUGGUGGUUCUUGAGUCGGGCCCACCAAUUUAUUUUCACAGACAUUUUUAAAUUGAAACCGCCUAUAAAAAUUAUGCUCCACCGCCAGCAUAGAGCUUUUUUACUAAUGUCACACACCGACGACCAAGCUGUCGUCACCCAAACGGUGGCGGCGGCUGCCCCUUCAUCUCAUUAUCCUAGCAGCCCCACCUUUCCUCUCCUAUGGCGACUACGAGGAGCACCCUACCCUGACCCGAUGGGGACAAGGUGCAUUCAGUAGGGGAAAGGUGGAUAUGAUCACUACUUAACCACGGCAGGCAAAAACAUUUAACUGAGGCGGUUUUUACAACCGCAUCAAACAAAAGAUCACAGUUAAUCGUGGCCUUAACCGAGGCGGUUGCCCCGCUCGCCUUGGUAAAUCGAGUAAACAAAUAGAAAAACACUACUACCUAAAAAAUGAGGCGGGCAAAAAUAGCUUAACUGAGGCGUUUUGGCCAACCGCCUCGAAUCAAAGGUCACAGUUAAUAUGACAUUUUUUGAGACGGUUUGAUGCCCACCUCGGUUAAUAAAUUAAAAAAAGUGAAUAAGCCCAUCGAUGGGCCUGCCGAGCCCAUCCACACUGCUGCUGGCUAGACUCGCCAUUGCCGGCACCCUAUCGCAGAUCCACAAGUAGGGGAGGCAGGAGCGCCGCCAGCCUACUGAUCACCCGGUGGGGUAGAUCGACUGCGACACCCUGACCCUGGCUCCUUGGUCCACGUAGGAGCUCCACCUGAUCCGACAUAGAGGAGGAUAACAUGAGGGAGAAGGGGCUCCACCGGUCUGUCGCGCCCGCGCCGCUUGUCCAUCGAGCCCGUUAUGCCCACUUCGUCACACCUCGAUGACGGUUGUGGCAAAGGAGGGCGGCAUGGGGGAUAAGGGGCUUUGGCGAUCUGCUGAUGAGGUCACAGGCUCCUCCUGGCCAUCAGGGUGCGUUCUCCUGGCCGUUAGGGUCGUGAUCUCUUAGCCGCUGGCACUACUAGAGAACAGAUCUUUCGUCGAUGUGCCAAAUGAGCUUUAGUCUCGGUAUUUUUGGCGCCCGGGACAAAAGAGAUCUUUAGUCCUGGUUGGUAAAGCCAACCGGGACUAACAGUCCCUCCCCAACGGCUCCGGUGUCAGGCGCUGUCGGGGAGGAACCUUUAGUCCCGGUUGGUAACACCAACCAGGACUAAACCCUCCCCGCUAUAAAUUGAAUCUCCCUCCUCCCUUCUUCCUCUCCCUGCCCGAGCCCGAGGUCCUUUGUUCUUGCUUGUUCUUCCAUUGUUCUUGCUUGUUAUUGCUCUCAUCUCCCGCGAUCGAUCCAUUUCAACGCUUCUACGCCGUCGUCGAUUUGUUUGAAAGGUUGCUAGCUUCAUCUUCCUAUGUUUCUCACCGCCAUAUGUAAUUUCAUAUUGGACAUAUGUCUAUUUUAAUUAUUUCAUGUUUCUAUCUCUCCAAUCAUCAUCUUCUCAUGUUUGAAUUUUUUUGAACGAUGCUAAGUGUGUGCCCGCUAGAAACUAGUUUACACAAAUCAUUACUACUAUGUAUACACAAAUCAUGUUUAGUUCUAUUAUAAAUAUUAUAGGAUAUUUUUUACUUUAAUAUGGUCAUGUUCUUAUUUUAAAAUAUUAAUAAUAUAAUUUUUGUUGUAAUUGUUAAAUAAAUUGUUUUUCACUUUAAAAAUUCUUGAAAUUAAUUUUCUUUAGUGAUAAAAUUAUAGCUUCUAAUAGAAAAAUUACAGUUCCAUGAUAAUGCAACUAAUGUCACGCCAUUGGAUGUACAAUGCCGAUCGCCGCUCCAACGAGUUCAUUGAGGGCGUGCGAGAAUUCCGCAGAGUGGCAGAGCAAAAUAAGCGGGACGGUUUUAUGUGUUGUCCAUGUGCCGUGUGUAAGAAUUUUCAAACUCAAGAGAAAUGCACUUGCACUUGUUCACGAAUGGUUUCAUGCCAAACUAUAUUUGUUGGACCAAACACGGAGAGACCGGGGUUAUGAUGGAAGAAGGUGAAGAAGAGCAAGCGUACCCUGACGAUGUUUUUGCUCAAUACUGCGACUUUGCAGUAGAGGACAAAGGUGAAGAAGAUGGGGAUGCAGGAAACAGUAUCGUUGAUGAUGACGAUGCUCUUGGUGAUGUCAUUCGCGAUGUACAGAGAGAUUGCGAAAGCUACCAAUGGCAUUAAAGGCAUAAAUGUGAAACCCUAUCAAAAGGUGCCAAACAACAGAUUUCUGAUUUUUCUUAGCUUUGCAAUCACAUGAUUACAUCACUCAGCAAGUUUCAUCAUAAAAGGAGUUAUAAUUUAUUUAUUAGAAAUACCACAAUAAACUCCUUUUUAAACAAGGGAUAUUUAUAACUCUACCAAUAGGCAUCCAAAAAUCAUGAGAAAUUCACCAGAGCCUGCACAUAGCAUAAACAACCAUCUCCUAAAUUUGCAUGGUCAUAGGACUUACAGAUCUCAAGAUAUAGUUACCUUCUCUUUAUCAAGGAUUAAAUCAUAUCUAUUUAUUUCUAUAAAAACAUGGCAUGUUUCAUAUUUUUAUUAAAAACUAGACUAACUCAAGAGUGUGACAAAAUUCGAAACACUUUAUUUGGAUCUGUCUUGCUCAAGUUAUGAAUUUUCUAAAACAGCAUUGAGUCUGCCAAAAACAGAAAUAGGAGAAAAGAGGGACAGUGGCUGAAGAGGGACCCACUGGUCACUGGGAGCCGCUCGACAGUGACACAGAGACAGGGGACAGCUCGUCGCCGGUGAAACUCGACGACGGCGAGGUCUCGGCUGAAUCCAAGGGCACAAUCGUGACCCUCUCCCCAAGGCGGACCUAAUGAGGUACAAAACCCUCACUCUACCGAGCUCAAGGGGGUUCGCCGGCGUGAAUGGCGGCUCAGUGGCGCUGCGGGCGAUACGCCAGCAUGCUCAGUCGAUGCCGACCCAGUUGAAGUUCACGCCGAGCAUCAGUGAGUCAAGGGGAAGCUCUAGGAACAAAAAUGGAAGGAAAUGGUGGAGCAGAAAGGCCUGGCCACGUUGCCGAUGAGCACGGCGGAACUCCAGUGAGGAAGAAGCCGCUCGGAGCUCGGCAAUGCCGCCUUACCCGUGCUCGACAGAGGCAAUGAAGGCGACGUCGAGGUGGAGGAAGCUCUGGCGGAGCUUUUAGCGGGCUAGCUUGGCCGGAGAUGGGGAGGAGAGCUCGGGCGGAGUCACUGACUCGCGGUGGAGCUCGCCGAGGAAGAGAGCGGAGAGAAGAGAGGGCGCUGGAGAGGGAAUGGAGGCCGGCUGCCGCUCGGGGGGGCGUCGUGGUGUCCAAGUGGAGGUGUUGGGGCUGACAGGCGGGGUCGCGGUCGACGUACGGCCACCAUGGGGCUUCCACGCGUCGAUCAGCUAGUGACUGGCGAAACUGAAUCGGUUGAUUCAGUCACCGUCGACUGUGAUUGAAACCCGAUCUUCGUCGACGUUUUACUCACGAUUCACUAGGUAGUUUUUGCUCGGAUUUGUCCCAAUGGAUAGAGCUACACGAGUUCUACAAGUUUGCUUAAAGGAUCAAAGUCUGGUUUGACCUAGAAUUCAAACUACAAGGCUCCCAAGUACCCUAUCUCGAAACUGCAGAACCCAGACUUAGCCAAAUUCGCCUAAGUGUUGGAAACAACACUGAUUUCUAUCUUGCGGGCCACUUUUGGUCAGGUUCCAACCAUUUUUAUGAGAAGGUACCAAAACAACUUUUGUAGCUUACAAAAUUUAUACAACUUUGCUUUAGAGAUCAAUUAGAUGCAAGGUCUCUAACACUGGUUUCAUAAAAGAUCUUUGAAAAGAGGUUUAGGGGGUCAACUAGGUCAAACUAGGGCUAACCAUGACUUGGGGGCAUCUUUGGAUGAAACUCCCAACAUAAACUUUGUUCCAAAUGAUAUUCUAAACAUGAAUAAAGUAUUUUGGAAGACAAUGUGUACUUGUAUACAUUGGUCAUACAUUACUUUACACAUAUAACAAGCUAUCUAAGCAAUUCAAUCACAUAUUGCAUACACCAAAAUGACAUGUGAUCAUGGUAUUGUGCUCAUGAGUGAGUAUGAUGAUGCUUAUGUUGUUGAAAUGCUUAUGGUUAACAUGCAAGCUAACACUAGGAGUGUUACAGUAUAAAUAUAUGUCCACUUGUAGAAUCAUUCUUAUUCAUUCAUAUAUAUAUAUAUAUAUAUUCAUCUUUAUAUUUCUACCUAGUCCAUAAAAUGGUAGAUUCAUACUGAUAUUACUUCUAGCUUAGUUGCUAGGGAUGACAACCUAGUUUAAUGCUAUGAGGUAUAGGUUAAUAAAAGGUGACUACUCUAUUGGUGACAAGCUAAUAAUUAUCAUAACAUUUAUUUGUGUUGUUACUAAUUUAGUGAUUGCGUUAAUUAAUGUCAACAAGCAUUUUUAGCACUUUUGCUGGGGAUGUUAUAUUAACUUAGGAAGUAAUGAUAACUUUAUGUUUAUGAUGAGAUUGAUUGAUCAUUGAACCCUAAUCAAACAGACUUACACUUGUUUUGUCUACUUGUGCAUCUUAUGUAGGGAAAUGUAUGACUGGUUUUGACCUUCGGACAAACUAUGUUAAAAAUUUAGAAGCAUUAAUCAAGGGAACCAAAGCUAAACUAAAAAAAGUUUCCUCUUCAAGUUUAGAAGACAACCAUAUAAGAAGAAGCUUCACACCAGAAUUUGACACUAUAGCCAACAAAAGUCUUCGCUAUCCUCUGCUUCGACUACUGCUAACAUUCGGACAGGACCUAAAGUCAAUGUUGGAGACAAUAGAUUCGAGCUAAAGCCUGCACUCAUCACUAUGGUGCAAGCUCACCAAUUUUGUGGAAAGUCUCAUGAAGAUGCAAGUGCACACUUACAACAUUUUCUAGAGGUUCAAGUGCACCUUCACCACCAAGGGAGUAACUAUAGAUGUUAUUCUACUCUACCUUUUUUCCAUUUUCACUAUUGGGGAAAGCUAAACAUGGGUUCUAUGCUAACAAUGCAGAUGUACUCACUGAUGACGUUCGGUUAUGGUCACUAAUGACUACAUUUUGGUCACAGAGUUUCAUUUGUGACGACUUUGUGACGAUUUUGUCUUCGUCAUGUCGGUAUAACAAUCACUCUCCACUCAUUUACUUAGUUACAUACCUUGGUAGUUGUUUAGCUUAUUUAGCUUAGUCUUAUUGUUUAGGAGUGUAGAGAGCCUUUAGUUGUUCUUUCUUGUUGUGACUUAGUGUUUAGCUUUCUUGCUAGACUUAUGUAGGUGGCUUGCAUAGCUCAGUUGUGAUAGUGCUAGAAUAGCCUUGCCAUUUGUUUUACUAACACACUUGCUUAGUGAAAUUUGUAGAGUUUUAAAGAAAUUUGUAGAAUUUUAAAUAGGCUAUCCAUCCCCCCUCUAGCCGUUUGGACCUUUCACUAGCCAAUCCCCAAUAUAGUGCUCCAAGUUGUUAUCAUUUAUUCUCUUAAAGUUUUCAUUAGAGAUUGGGCUAUUUCCUGCUUAAAAAAGAGAAGAAAGAAAAAUCAAAAGAAGAAGAAAAGAGAAAGAACCCCAGUUUUCAAAAGUUCCAAAAAUGAGGGAAGUUACACUUUGUAAAGGAGCACUAUAGAAUUAUUCUUUCACCCUUUCUCCCUUCCACAAAUAUUUGUUCAUUUGAAACCACACAUGUACAUCUUGAUCUAAGGGUAUGGUCUCCCCUCCGAGGAUCCUAGUUUGACUAGGCAAUAUAUGCAAGGUAAGUAUGUCAUAUCCUUGAAAUACCCUCAGCUCCACAUAUGCCAUUAGUUAUAAGAGAGAAUAGGUAAGGCACAAUGUUUCAUUGCCUUAUGCCAAGAAUACUACAUAUCUCGAGAGGAGAGAAGGCAAAACACCAUUGUUGCCUUGGAAAGGAAUCCACAAAUACCACAAAUGAGAGACUUGAAGGGAUCAUACAAAGAAAUCUCUGAGUUUUAUUUCAAAAACCUUGCAAAACUCCAGAAAGAAGGUUGAUCAAAGAGUUCAAAAUGGAGCUUGAUUAAACUGUUAUAUCUUUCAAUUACUCAAGACCCAAGUGAAAGCAAUAAGCUCUAUAGUUGAAGGUAAUAUGGAUAAGUUUGAAGACUGAGCAGUUUGUCAAUUUUCUGGUAGAAGAAUUUUUGUUUGAAUACAUGUGUAUUUCUAAGGUGUGAAAGCAUUGCAGCAACUCCAGAUCUAUUAUGGUAGUUUGCUAAGGGACUAGCAAAAGUCAAACAUGGGGGAGCUUGUUGAUGAUCCAUAACGUCAACAUUAUACCUUCAAUUAAUUCACAAUAUAAUGGCAAAAGAGUUAUUAGUGCGUAGUUGUAUGGUUUAUUCUAACAAGUUUCACGAGUUGUGUUGAUCUCACCUCUUUUGCAGGACUAUUGAUAUUUUACCACAUAAAAGUAUCACAAACGAUGAAAUAAAGUACACCAUUGCAAAGAGCUUGUUGAGACGAUUCAAAGAGACAUUUCAUUUGCUAUAUUUGGAAUCCCGACGAGAGAGUCCCCGAUUUAUAUGCCCAAGAAUUCUCUAGAAUACUCCAAAAGCAUCACCAAGCCAAAGUUUUAUGGACUAACAUGACAAUUUCCACAACUUUGGUGAAUGAUGAAUUUUUAGGGAUAAAAAUAGAAUACACCGAUGAAGAGUAGGAGCCAAGGAAUCGAACCAAAUCAAGUAAGAAUUCUACAAAGACCGAUGGGAAGGUUCUAGAGGACACCAGAAGACACAACAACAAAAUAGGAGCACGACGCUGGGCAACUGGGGCUAGCCGGUGUUGGGUAUUCUUAACAACAUUACCAAAAGUAGACUAAGUUCUCUAAAUCUAGUAACGGUGCCAAAAAUGCCAAACCUAUCCCUCAUAUCACUUAAGCCAAGUUGUCAUCCCCAGCAUGAUAUAAGAGACGCGGUAUUGAAAUAUGCAAUUGCUCUUCUAAAUAAAUAAUGAAUGGGAUCUGCAAGCGCAUAGAUUAAUACCGAUGUAGCAUUUUAACCGGGAAGUAUUCCAGGUAUCGUUAUUUAUAUUUUUACCACUGGGAAGGGAUUAACAAUCAUCACUAUUGAUUACAGAAUAGAAUAUGAGAUUGAGCAUAUAUCAUUACAAGUAUAAUUGAGAACAGUUAUCUAACUCUUCAUACAGGGAUAAGUGUCACAUAAAAGAUAUAUGAAGUAAUAAAUAGUGACAAGGAUAAUUAAUCUGAUGAGCCACAUAUAAAUAUGAUAAGCACCUCAAUUAGAUAUUCUAGAAAGUCAUUAGCAUGGUAUUAGAACGAACUACAAGAAUAUUCCCUAAGUUAUUCUCAACUAUAUAGUCUAGCAUUAUCAUAGUUAGUGCAAGCAUACUUAGCAAUCAUUGUGAGACAAGACUACGCCCAUGCAUAGUGAUAUUAGCAAGGAAUAUGAGAAACAUAGCAAUCACUCCCCUGUAAUAAUGUUGCUCUGCCAGCCCAAUACACGAGAGGGGGACUAUAUAAGAAUCAAUGAAGCUGUCACUAUCACGAACCACCCCACGAUCUGGCAUAUUGGGUACAAUCGUAGAUAAAUACGGUAUAAGCACCACGCCUACACAAUAUCUAUGAUUUACCCAUGGAUCCAAUGGAUAAACGCUAUACGAUCCUAAGCAUGUAUAUAGAUCCAAUCUAACUAAGCCAAGUACAUAACUAUGAUAAACUAAGAACAAUAUAAUCUUGAAUAUAAGCAAGUAGAGCAAAGUCAUAAGCAAUAUAUUGAAGUAGAACAAAGUCAUAUUCAUAAUAUUGAAGAACAAAGAUAAUUAGAAAGCAAUUAGAAGCACAAUUAGAGAAUUACCAAGAAUCCUCCUGACAGAUCUGGAAACCAAUCGAAGAUUGACUCCUUCUAGUUCUAAUCCUAUGUAGCUAUGCUAAUCUAGAUAUCUAAUUGAUGUGGUGGCUCUAAUCUUGAUCAGAGGCUUCUUCUCCCAUGAUGGAACAAUGAAUUAGGGUUGAGAGGCUCUCUCCUCCAGGGGCCAGGGGGUCUAGUUUUAUAGUCCCUUCAAGUGAAUAUGGGCCGUUGGAUCAAACCGACAUAGAUUGCAUGGUUUAGAUUCAUCCUUUAGGUCGGUGGAGAUCUCCCGCGAAGCAGAGUCCUGAUUGGACUCCUAGAGAGGGCGGGCGCCCAGGGGAACAGGGCGGGCGCCCUGCCUCUGGCCCCGUUUCGCCUCCGCUUCGGUCUCGUGGCUUCUGGAGUCUUCUAGAUGUAAGAUAAUUGCGCAGCACGUUAAUAUCUCUAUGUAAUCCCGACGUGUGAGCCUUUCUUCCGUAUUUCCUGAUAACCCCCUGCAGAAAUAGACAAACACCAAAACUCGUGGAAUUCUGUCAGAUAAAACCCUAAGUCUAGAUGUUAAUUUUAUUUGGAUCCUUUUCUUUAUUUAUUUGAUAAUUAAAUUUGAUACUUAAGGACCGUCAACAAACUCCCCCAAGCUUACCUCUUGCUCGUCCCUAAGCAAGGAUAGACUCACCUAUGGAUCAUAAGUUGUUGCAAUAUUUUUUAAAAAUUGGCGGUACACAUGCUUUUAAAUAUUAUCUCAUCUCUGAGUUAGAGUAAACUGUCAAGACUUAAAACUUACUUACUUUACCUUCACCAUGGGACUUGUAACCGUUACUUCUGUCUUGAGUAGUUAAAAGAUAGAACAGUCCCGCCAAGUGCCAUGUCUCUUAUUCUUGAUCAGCUAUAGCUCUGGGGUUUUUGCAGAUUUUCAAAUAAAACUCAGAGAUUCCUUGUAUGACUCUCUCAGAUCUCUCUUUUGUGGUAUUUCUGGAUCCUUACCAAGGCAGUGAUGGUAUAUGUCUUCUCUCAAGAUAUGUAGUAUUUGUGGUACAAAGCAUAGUGACAUUGCCUUCUGUCUCACCCUACUCUAAUAAGGCUUUAAUAUCUGGAGCUCAUAGGUGGGAGAUAAAGUAUACAUACUUACAAGACAUGUAUUGUAUAGUCAAACCAUGGAUCCAAAGAAACAAAUCAAUAAGCCAAAUCAAGAUGUGCAUGUGUGGCGAAUGAAUGGUGUAUGGUGAUGAUGGUGAUAACAAUGGUGAAAACAAUGGUGGUGGAAGUCUACUUCUACUUUUGCUCUUUGAGGGGAUACAUACCUUCCUUGAUUUUUGAAUAGUGAGGAGAAUAAGAUGCUCUUUUUUUUUCUUUUCUCUCAGGUGGGUAUCUUGCACCCCUAAUUCUACUGUCGGACACUUGUCCAUUUUUACCUCUCGUCUCACUUUUUCUUUUCUUUCGAGGUUCCGAGCACUUGCUCCUUUUUAUUUCCUCGUAUUAUAUUUUUUUCUUUUUUUUAGAGCACUCAUCUCUUGAGAUAAUAUAGCAAGUGGUAGUAACAAGAUAACUUGAGCAUUUAUUUCAUAAGGGAAAACAGAAAUAUUUUUGGUUAUUCUCUCCCGGAUUAGGAGUAGAAUAUUUUUGGGUGAUUCUGGAGAUGGAAUGGGUGGAUAUAUGUGGAUGGUACUUCCGGAGUAGAAGUAGCAUAUAUGAGUGAACGUGCAAGCGAAAUCUUGAUUUAACCACAUGACAAGCUCCUAAGGGUCUACACAGCUUGACCACACUCAAUGCUCAUAAGCAGUAAAUAGUAAAUGUGUGGCUCAAAGUCUAGCAAGCAUGUAUAUAUGGCUGUGGUAGGAAUUUAAACUCUCAUCAUACAAGAACUCAUCAUGCAACAUUUUAAAGUUUUUCAAAGAUAAAAUUCUCCAGAAUUCUAGCAUCUCUAGGAACAGAUAAACAGCAGCUCAACCUUCCCAUAACGUAUCCGUUAACAACUUAGACUUCAGAUCAAGUUUUCAUCCCACAAGUUUAGGUCUAGAGCAAGCCUUAAAUUAUAACAGUUAUGUCUAAACUUGAGAGAGAACUUAAAAUGUGCAAAUUAGGCAGAGCAACUUUUUAUCAUAUCCAUGCUUAAGUUUUAUUAUUAAGAUACAGAUUAGCAUAGCCACUUUAUUUAUUUAUUAAACACACUAAGCAAAAGACAUAUAUAUAUAUAAAAUCUUUAUUUGGUUUUUUUCAUAGUUUAUGUAUUUUAAUAUUCUAAUAUAAUAUAAGUAUAAAGAUAGAUAGAUAGAAAUACUUAUCGGGAUAAAUGGGGGUGCUCUCCCCCAAGCUGAAUUUUGACGUAAUUUCUCUUGAUGUAGCUAGCAGGUGGCAGAGGUGUAUUUGAAAGUCAGCAGCAUUCUGAUAGCGAUUAGAAUGUCCUCCGUCUGCUAGUCUUCCUAAAUUCUGUGGAGCUCAAAUAGACAACAAAGCUUGUGGAACUGAUUAAGUGUUAGCAUAAUUAUCUAGCCUUUAUCAUGUUGAGACUCCUUAAUAAUUAUUACUCCCUGUUUUUAUAUUUUCAUUUUAUAAAGCAGAAAAGAAAUAUUUAUUUUAUUUUUAUGCCACCACAGUGAAUGUACUUAUGGGUUUCAUGCCACUCGUAUACUCACAUGGGGCUUACUGUUUCUCAUAUAUUUUUUUUAUUUUCUUUUUAGAAUAGCACGAACAUGAUUAACUAAGUAAACUAGUUGAAAUAAUUAAAAGAGAAAGGAUAACUACCAAGUUUACCUCUUGGCAAGGCGUUCGGUGUUUUUUAAGUCCUUCGAACGGGACUCUCCAUUUUUUUAAUUGUCCUGAGGUUCGUUGGGUGGCGUAGUCGGUACUUCCGGCAGCGCCUCCUCUUCAUGUAUAGUUAUCUUCAUUUUCCAUACCUGACUCGGUGCUUCAAUCUCCUCUGGAUAAUUCUGUUUAAACUCUAUGUCUUCUGACCUUACAACUUCUCCUUCAUAGUCUGCCCAUCCAUCCCUGAUGAUGUGCCUCCUCUGGUUGCGGUUGUGUCUUUUCCUUACCUGCUUAGAUUCUUCAAUGAUAUAGUUAGGGUCAGUAAAGUAACGGCGUACCUUCUUUGAGGGGAAGUGCGUAUGCACUUCUCCGGUUCCAAUGUAGAUAAUUGCUUUGACGGUGCUGAGGAACGGUCUUCCAAGGAUGAUGGGUGGAUCGUAUUCAUCUUCUCCCAUGUCAAUAACUUGAAAGUCUGUGUAGACAAAGUGAUCGUCUAUUUUGACUGGGACAUCAGUUACUAUUCCUUUAACUUCUCGAAAUGUCUGAUCUGCCAUCUGGAGCUGAAUGUAUGUUGGUCUUAGUGGCAUGGUUCCGAACAAGAGCCGAUAGGUGACUGCGGCCAUUAUGUUGACGCCCGAUCCGGUGUCACAAGUUGCCUUGUAGAAGUUGUAUCCAUUUAUGGAGCAGUAAAUGCUUGGCAUUCCUAGGUCGUCCAUCUUAGUCAAAAGCGGUGACUUAAGUUGGUGAUCUUGGCCUCCAUGAACUACAGUGACCAUCUUAGCUGAUUCGGUCCACACUUGCUUAUUCCUGUUCCUCCUGUUGGUCCUCUUCCUUGAUUCACGUCUGGAUUGAUCUGGAAUUUGUGUAGUCUUGUUCUUGAAGAAAAAUGUCUCCUUCUUCCCUUUGACAUAGAAACUGAUCUUGGCAGCACUGGCGUAGAUGAUAGCUCCCGUGGUGUUCAAGAAUGGCCUCCCUAAGAUGAUAGGUGCUCUCUCAUCAUUUCCGGUCUCUACCACAACGAAGUCUGCUAGAGCAUAUAAGGUACCAACUCGGACACAAAGGUUCUUCAAUAUUCCUUUUGGAAAAGUUAUCGUCUGAUCUGCAAACUGCAAACACAUGGUUGUCUCUAAUAAAGGGUAUGUAAAGAAUUUUUCAUAGAGUACCCUGGGUAUAAUGUUGACACUGGAGCCAAAGUCGCAGAGUGCUUCGGGAACGUCCACCAUGCCGAUGGAGAUCGGGAUGACGGGGCGUCCUGGAUCGCCUCUCUUGACCGGCAGAAGGUCAGUAGAGAAUUCAUUGACGGGGUUACUCCAAUUACCUGCAUCAAACAUGUCUACAAGAUUUGCAGAUUCUAAUCCUUCCGGUUGUGAUGGUAUACCGGGGUUAGUAGUAGGAACAGCAGUAGCUAUUUGAUUUAACUGAGAUUCAAUCAUUUUAUUAAAGCUAAUUUGAUUCUUGAUGGCAGUAGAGAAAUUAUCCAUUCUAUUAUUUAUAUUUUCUAGCAUUUUAUCAUUAGAUGCCAAUUUCUUAGAUAGGUUAUCCAUUAGCUUUCCUUGAUUAGACACUAACUCUCUCAAAGGUGGAAAAUUAUUAUUAUUGUUGUAAGAAUUGUUACCUUGAUAAUUACCUGAGUAGUUGGGCCUCUGUUGAUUCCAACCUUGAUUUUGUUGAGGACGGUUGUAGUAGUUGUUGAUGUAGUUUACAUCCUCAAGUAUCUCAGGGCAGUGGUUGCCUGAGUGUCCAGUGUCUCCACACUCCUCACAAGUUAGGUGAGAGUCGUAGAUGUGCAUAACUUCCUUCUUAUCUCCAGCUCUAUCGUCGAGCUUCUUCAUGAGCAGGUCUAGCUUUGCAGACAGCAUGUCUACCUCUUUCAGCUGAUGCAUACCUCCACCUCUCUUGCGUGUCUGGGUCCUCUCUUCAUUCCAGCUUUGAUUGGACGCCAUCUUCUCCACAAGAGCUGUGGCUUGUGGUAUAGUCAGUGAUAAAAAUGCUCCUCCAGCUGCAGCAUCCAUGGUUUCUCGGGCACUGUUGCCCAGCCCAUGAUAAAAUGUUUGCAUCAAUAGCCAACUCUCCAUUCCAUGAUGGGGACAUUCUAGGAUGUAGUCUUGAAAGCGCUCCCAUGCUUCUGGAACAGAUUCAUCAUUUUGUUGCUGAAAACUUGUAAUCUUCCCAAGGAGAGCAUUGGUCUUGCCCAUGGGAAAGAACUUUGCCAGGAAGUUUGUUGAGCAGAGUGCCCACGUAGUAUUCUUCUCCUUUGUAGCGUAGAACCACUGCUUCGCUCUUCCUAACAGUGAGAAUGGGAAGAGGCGAAGUAGUAUAGCAUCUUUGGAAACUCCUGAUAUGGUGAAUGUGUUGCAAAUCUCCAGGAAGUGUUGUAAAUGAGCACUAGCGUCUUCGUGUGCCUUCCCACAGAACUGGUUGGAUUGCACCAUGUUGAUAAGUCCAGGCUUGAGCUCAAAGUUGCCGUCGAUCUCUCCAGCAGGUCCAGUGCGGAUGUUGUCCGUAGUGGGAGCUGAGAACUCGCGGAUUGAUUUGUUCGCCAUGGCUUCGAACUCUGAAGACAAGUUCCGGUGAUCUUCUUGAUUAGAUGAAGCUUCUUGCUGAAGUGUUGAUGAUUUCUUUAGCUUGGCUCUCGUCUUCUUGAAUAAUGCUUCAGGAUUGUCAACAAAAUUUCCUGGAAGAUGUCUUCUAUUCAUACAUUCCCCUGCAUAAGAUAAAAUAGAAAAAUAUCGGGGUAAAACUGUAUGAGAGAAUAGAUAAGCUCAAUCAUAUUAGUGAUGGAAUGAUAACUCAAAAUCUUUUAUUCCAUUCCUGAUUAGUAAUCAACCUUCUCCGGCAACGGCGUCAAAAAUGCUUGUUGGGUAUUCUUAACAAUAUUACCAAAAGUAGACUAAGUUCUCUAAAUCUAGUAACGGUGCCAAAAAUGCCAAACCUAUCCCUCGUAUCACUUAAGCCAAGUUGUCAUCCCCAGCAUGAUAUAAGAGAUGCGGUAUUGAAAUAUGCAAUUGCUCUUCUAAAUAAAUAAUGAAUGAGAUCUGCAAGCGCACAGAUUAAUACCGAUGUAGCAUUUUAACCGGGAAGUAUUUCAGGUAUCGUUAUUUAUAUUUUUACCACUGGGACGGGAUUAACAAUCAUCACUAUUGAUUACAGAAUAGAAUAUGAGAUUGAGCAUAUAUCAUUGCAAGUAUAAUUGAGAACAGUUAUCUAACUCUUCAUACAGGGAUAAGUGUCACAUAAAAGAUAUAUGAAGUAAUAAAUAGUGACAAGGAUAAUUAAUCUGAUCAGCCACAUAUAAAAAUGAUAAGCACCUCAAUUAGAUAUUCUAGAAAGUCAUUAGCAUGGUAUUAGAACGAACUACAAGAAUAUUCCCUAAGUUAUUCUCAACUAUAUAGUCUAGCAUUAUCAUAGUUAGUGCAAGCAUACUUAGCAAUCAUUGUGAGACAAGACUACGCCCAUGCAUAGUGAUAUUAGCAAGGAAUAUGAGAAACAUAGCAAUCACUCCCCUGUAAUAAUGUUGCUCUGCCAGCCCAAUACACGAGAGGGGGACUAUAUAAGAAUCAAUGAAGCUGUCACUAUCACGAACCACCCCACGAUCUGGCAUAUUGGGUACAAUCGUAGAUAAAUACGGUAUAAGCACCACGCCUACACAAUAUCUAUCAUUUACCCAUGGAUCCAAUGGAUAAACGCUAUACGAUCCUAAGCAUGUAUAUAGAUCCAAUCUAACUAAGCCAAGUACACAACUAUGAUAAACUAAGAACAAUAUAAUCUUGAAUAUAAGCAAGUAGAGCAAAGUCAUAAGCAAUAUAUUGAAGUAGAACAAAGUCAUAUUCAUAAUAUUGAAGAACAAAGAUAAUUAGAAAGCAAUUAGAAGCACAAUUAGAGAAUUACCAAGAAUCCUCCUGACAGAUCUGGAAACCAAUCGAAGAUUGACUCCUUCUAGUUCUAAUCCUAUGUAGCUAUGCUAAUCUAGAUAUCUAAUUGAUGUGGUGGCUCUAAUCUUGAUCAGAGGCUUCUUCUCCCUUGAUGGAACAAUGAAUUAGGGUUGAGAGGCUCUCUCCUCCAGGGGCCAGGGGGUCUGGUUUUAUAGUCCCUUCAAGUGAAUAUGGGCCGUUGGAUCAAACCGACAUAGAUUGCAUGGUUUAGAUUCAUUCUUUAGGUCGGUGGAGAUCUCCCGCGAAGCAGAGUCCUGAUUGGACUCCUGGAGAGGGCGGGCGCCCAGGGGAACAGGGCGGGCGCCCUGCCUCUGGCCCCGUUUCGCCUCCGCUUCGGUCUCGUGGCUUCUGGAGUCUUCUAGAUGUAAGAUAAUUGCGCAGCACGUUAAUAUCUCUAUGUAAUCCCGACGUGUGGGCCUUUCUUCCGUAUUUCCUGAUAACCCCCUGCAGAAAUAGACAAACACCAAAACUCGUGGAAUUCUGUCAGAUAAAACCCUAAGUCUAGAAGUUAAUUUUAUUUAGAUCCUUUUCUUUAUUUAUUUGAUAAUUAAAUUUGAUACUUAAGGACCGUCAACAAACUGCCCCACCUGCUAAGCCAGCCGGCCUAGGCCCACAUCGAAGUGGCCUCCGCUUCGCAUGAUGGUUUCCAACCGACCUCUACGAUGCAUCUUGACCCUUGUUUCAAGUUGGUUUGAUCCAAAGGCUACGGUUCAUCCCACCGGACUAUAUAAGGAGGGGCAGACCCCCCUAAGACACCCAUCAAUCCCAUCAAUCAUCAGUUGAUCAUUCAGAAGGGCAGAGAGAAAAGUUAGGAUUUUGAAACAGAAGAUUAGAGCUCUAUUUCAAGUUUAGGUUUAGUUCUAGCUAGAAACAAGUAGAGCUGAGCGUGGCUCAGGAUUCUAGGUCGACAUCAGGAUAUUUGGUAAUUCUAUUAUUGUAUCUCAUAAUUAUGACUUUGUGCUACUUCAAUAUCAUUAUGCUCUUGUUUAUUUCGUUCUUAGCUUAUUCUAGUUCUAUCUUUGAUAUAUUCUUAAUUGAUAAUAAGUUUAGACAUAAGUUCAUAGAGUGCCUAGUUCAACUCUGGAUUGGAUUAGGUGGUAGAAUUAAUGUAGACGUGGUGUCUAGAAUAUAUUUACCUACAAAUGCACCCUAUUUUCUAGGCCAUGUGAUAGAACGUGAAGGUGACUAUUAUAGCUUGUUGAGUUGUAUGUAGUCCACUCCCCGAAUCUAGGACAAGUAAAACCCGGUUACUUGGGGAAGGAUUGCUUUAUUCCUACAUUUUCUGAAGUAAUGUUCCUAAUGUUUAGAUAGAAAGAUUGAUUAAGAUAUAGAUGAUAAAGAGUAGAAUAGAAGCCCUAAAACUUAGUAGAUAGGACAUAAUUUUAGGAAUUAAAUCUCUAACUGUAUUGCUUUCUAUAUCCUACUUGAUCAAAUGAGUUCUCUCUAAUUAUGGAUUCCCUAUCUUUAUCUCAUUAUUAUUAUUAUUAUUAUUAUUAUUAUUAUUAUUAUUAUUAUUAUUAUUAUUAUUAUUAUUAUUAUUAUUAUUAUUAUUAUUAUUAUUAUUAUUAUUAUUAUUAUUAUUAUUAUUAUUAUUAUUAUUAUUUGCCUUACCCCUAUUUAGACAGAAGUGGUUAAUUGAUUCAUAUCUAGAGUAUGCAUUUGUAAUUCUUAUAGCCAUAUCAAUUUCCUUUUCUAGACCCUGUCUAGAGAUUCCUAUAGAUAGAAUUAUAAAUAACAAUACCUAGAACUUUUCUAGGUUAAAAUGCAACAAUAGGAGUAUUUAUCUAUGCGCUUGCAGAUAAUUGCUAUUUCAUAAUUUAAAAGUGUCAUGAUAUAAGUAUAACCACAUUUCUUAUGUCAUGUUAGGGUUGACAACCUAGUGUGUGCGGUGUAAGAGAUGCCAACAAUGGCCUCGAGGGCUACACCUACUCGCCGGAUGAAGUAGCCUAACCCUUUGAUCAAUGAAGGUCCGGGUGGUGCAUCCCCUAGAAACAACCAACUCCCUAAGAGUUGGGCCUAUACCCACUGAGCAAUGGCCCAAAUGACGGCCCCUAGUCCAAGGCUCGACACGCUUCAUGCUCCCUGUUGAUAUUUGGGAACACAAUAAGGAAUUGAUCCGCAAGCGCACGGAUAUCGGUGAGCACUUCACCCGGGAGGUUAUCCAGAGUAUCGUAUUUAUUUUUUUACCACUAGGAGAAAGAGUGCAUCUGACUAACCGGUCUAUUACUACUAACCCUUUAGGCAACAAAUAAUGUCUCUCGAUGUGAGUGAUAAAUAGAGAAGACUGCAACCGUAGUCUCCUUCUAACCUUGGUAAGGAUGAUCUACUGUUCUAUUGGGGAGGCUAACGGAAUCUAGACACCACAAAGGAUGUUCAACCCGCACCUAUAAACCCUAUCCUUCCUGCUAACGAGAUAUGGUCUGCAAAGGUAACUUGGAAUUGUCACGUUCCUCACUACUACAACGGUAUAGCUAGUCAGAGAAUAUCUAUGAGUACCCCAGCCUAAACACCACGUUUAUGCGAGCAAUGAUUACUCUAAACUCUACGCGAAGAGAUUAAAGUAAACUCAUAAACCAGAAGAACAAUAAAAGAAGAACUUACUAGAAUUUAGAAGUUGAAAUACUGAAGAAUCCUAGGAGGAAGCUUCGGGUUAGGAGAACUUGAUCCCACAGGUACAAGCUUGGAGUAGACACCGACAGGUCGGGCUUCCUCCAAUCUACACCUCCACUCUAUCUCUCUCAAUCUAGUAGAAACUAGAAGAUCUAUUUCUACUUUACAUUGGUUGCUAAGCCUAAAAAGAAAUAUUAAUUAGAGAAGAGGUUUUCCUUCGAGGGCACCCCUCAAUCUCUAUGAUAAUUUCUUGUCUCCUCCAGGGGCCAGGGGGUCUCCUUAUAUAGUCCUCCUCCUCUAUGCGUUUUUGGGUCGGUAGGCGAGGUGGUACUACAUUAUCCUUGAUCCAAUAGGUUGGUGGAACAUCGUGUGCGAAGAGAGUCCCGAACGGGAUCCAGCAGGGGGCGGGCGCCCAGGUCACCAGGGCGAGCGCCCUGGGCCUGGCCCCUUUCGGCCUCUGCUUCGUUCUCGUGGCUUCUGGAGUCUUCUAGAUGGUAGAAAAUCGCGCGGUGAGUUGAUAUCUCUAUGUAAUCCUGACAUGUGGGCCUUUCUUCCUUAUUUCCUGAUAACCCCUGCAGAAACAGAUAAACAACAAAACUCGUGGAAUUCUGUCAGAUCAAACCCUAAUUCUAGGUGUUGAUUGCAUAUUGGUCCUUUCUCUUGUUUAUUUGAUAAUUAAAAUUGAUACUUAAGAACCGUCAACAAAUACCCCCAUACUUAGGCUUUUACUCGUCCUCGAGAAAAGGAUGGUUAAGAACAAUACUUGGGGUAAAACAUUCUAAAACAUUCUUUAUACUUGCAGGGUAUUAAAAUCCAUUGUGUACUGUAGUCAGGAAAGUAUAUGAUUAAGAGUAAAGAUCCUUUCUUCUCAAUCCUGUUACUUGGAGUUUUUGUAUAAUUUUGAAAGAAAGCUAGCAUACCUUUUUAUCCUCAUAGGUUCUCUCAGAUCACUCAUUAUCUUUUAUAUAUCUCACUGAUGUUGUUUUAAUUUGCAAAAAUUCUUAAGCAUACUUACUUUGCAUUUAUUGCCUGAUCAAAACGGGAUCCAAGGAGGGGAAUGUCAUACUCUUAGAUCAAAGACUUUGGAAAUUAAAAUCUUUGUCAACUCUUGCUGGCAUAUUGCUUAUUAGAGGGACCAUGGGCUAUCAUUUUUUUCUCUCUCUUCUUCUUUUUUUUUAAGUGGAUACCAAGGUAUCCCUAAUUCUACUGCCGGACACUUGUCCAUUUUUCCUGCGAGGUUGUCGAGCACUUGCUCCUUUUUAUUUCCUCGAAAUAUCUUUAUUUUUGCAUAGCUCAUGCCUCUAAUGCAAUAAUACUUCGGAAGAGUGAACCUUUCUGAAUAAAGGUCUUGAUCUUAGGAGCAUGAUAAAUCUCUCAACAAGGGUCUAACUCAUUUUGAACAAACUCAAUACAGAGUAGAUAGCUUUUAUAAUCAUAAUUAAUAUUUUCAGUUUUUAUCAGGCAUAUAAAACACUGAGGAUGGUAGCUAAAAUUUUAAAGAUUUUGAAAUAAAUUCUCCAAGCAACAAUGAUAUCAAGAAUAAGAAACACUACCAUCUCACAUUUCACACUGUCUUAAGUAACACAAGGUUUUAAAAUGAUUUUAUAAUAAUUGCAAGUUUCAGGAAAUAUAACAGAGUGAGAUUAAUCAUGAUUAGAAAUAUUUUAAUCUUUUUAAUGUAUCAUGUCGGAAACAGUAAUCUGCAUAAUCAAGAUAUGUGAAGUGUAAAGUAAAGUGUGCAGAGUGUGUACCUGAAUCGUGGAGUGGUGUAGUCGAAGUGUGUUUGGCGUGUCGAGGGAUCUCCCCCAUACUUGUUUUCUGCUUUCUUGCACAAAAAAUAAAGUAGAGACACACGAGGCAUAAAAUAAUAAUAAUAAUAAUAAUAAUAAUAAUAAUAAUAAUAAUAAUAAUAAUAAUAAUAAUAAUAAUAAUAAUAAUAAUAAUAAUAAUAAUAAUAAUAAUAAUAAUAAUAUUCUUUAUUAAUCUUGAGGCAUUUAUUACAAAUAACUAGUAGCAAACUGAUCAUAGUAGUAAACUGAUGAUAAUAGUAAACCUAAACUGAAUUUAAAGAUAAAUAACUAAGAUGCAUUGCCUCAAGGUCUAAUCUAGAUAACUUAGCGGCGCUCUAAUUCCUUAAUCUUCUUGUUGGCACUAGCAAGAUCCUGCCUAAGGCCUAGUAUGAUGGUGUUGUGGUUAGAGAGCUGCCUAGUGAGGGAAUUAAUCGAGGUCUGGAGGUCUAUGAUAACUCUGUCUAGUCUGCGAACGUCCUCAUCAAUAUCCAUUAUAGUUUUGCGACGCUUGGGAGGUGUCUCAAAAGCAUUGAGAGCGUGCUUCGGGGCUGCCUUUGGAGGGAUGAAACGCACUUUGGCUGCUCUAAUCCCUUCGAAGUAAGGCCUUUCUUCCUCUGUAGUGUAGCGUACGCUGCUGAUCUCACCACUCCAGUUGGUCUUGACUCCAACGACUCUCUCAUUGGGUCUAGGUGGAAGGAUCCUUGUGUCGGUUGGCACCUUGAUGGUGGUCUUCGUCUUGGAUGAUGAUUCCUUGAGGAGUAGGGGUUGUGGCGGUGCGGUGAGAACUGGUUGAGCAUUGUAGGAUUGGGCGGAGCUGCGUUGGCGUAAUGGCAUGGCUUCUAGCUGUCGCUCUGUGUUGGCCGGGACGAGAGCACGGUCAUUGGGGUCUUCCACAGGCUCCAUGUUGAGGUUGAAGGGGACGACUUCCCAAUCAUCGUGGUACUUCUCGGCCAUUGGAGCAGCAAGGAACUAAUCAAGCUCUAAUUGAAGAAGAAGAGAAGGCUUGGUGGCUUGGUGUUUGAAAACUCAGGUCAGGGGUCUGUUUAUAUAGGGGUCAAAAAGUACCUCUAUGGGUUGUUCGGGUUGCUCCCGUCGAUGUGCGUGCGAAACUUUCCAUCUGAGAGAUUAUUUGGAUUUCCUUAAGUGCAUUUUCCAUAACAGAGAAAGUCGGGACCAAGGGGGAACAGGAGCUGGGCGCCCGCCCUCUCUCUGGCCCCUCUGUGGGUCCACUUCCUUGAGCGUGUUAUUAGAUGCAAAACUAUUUAGAAAAAUAUAUAUAUGACCCGAAAACGUGAGACUAAAAAGGUCGGGCUCUAAUUCUCCAUGGGAAGGUAAAAAUAGACUACGUCUAUUUCUUCUAAUUCUUUAUUGGGCUCUAAAAAUAAUUUAAGACGUUGACCAUUUACCUUGAAUAACGUACCUUCAUCAUUUUGAAGUGUGAUAGCUCCGUGGGAUGAUGAAUUAAUUACCUUGAAUGGUCCUUCCCAUUUGCUCUGGAGUUUUCCAUGCCCGAAAAGCUUCACCCUGGAAUUAAAAAGUAAUACCUUAUCUCCGGGUGUGAACUCCUUCUUCUUGAUUCUCUUGUCAUGCCACCUUUUGACUCUUUCUUUGUAGAUCUUCGAAUUGUGAUAUGCUUUCUCUCGCCAUUCUUCCAAUUCUGAUAGUUGCAUUCUUCUAUAAUCUCCAGCAACAUCUAGGUCCAUAUUCCAUCUCUUUAUGGCCCAGUGUGCUUUGAACUCUAGUUCAACGGGUAGAUGGCAAGUCUUCCCAUACACCAAUUGGUAUGGAGACAUUCCAAUUGGGGUCUUGUAUGCUGUUCGGUAUGCCCAGAGUGCAUCGGGUAACUUGUCUUUCCACGCCGUUCCCAUUUCAUUUACUGUCUUCUGAAGAAUAUUCUUGAUUUGUUUGUUGGAAGUUUCUGCUUGGCCACUUAUCUGUGGAUGAUAGGGGGUAGCGACGUUGUGACGGAUUCCAUGUUUUGAUAGAUAUUGCUUGAAGCGUUUGUCGAUGAAGUGUGCUCCUCCAUCACUUAUCACUACUCUGGGGACUCCAAAUCUUGGAAAUAUAAUUUCUUCAAACAUCCUCUUUGAACUGAUGUUGUCGGCAUGCUUGCAAGGUAAUGCCUCUACCCACUUGGAGACAUAGUCAACUGCCACCAAGAUGUACUCGCACUUCUUUGAUGGAGGAAAUGGACCCAUGUAGUCUAUUCCCCAUACAUCAAAGAGCUCAAUCUGAAGGUUGUUGGUGAGUGGCAUUGCAUCCCUUGUAUUUAUGUUUCCGUGCCUUUAACAUGGCCCACAUCUUCUGAUAUAUUGCUUCGUGUCUUCAUAUAUUGUAGGCUAGUAGAAUCCACACUGCCAGAUCUUUGAAUGUGUACGGAAUGCUCCAUAGUGACCUCCAUAUGGUGAUGAAUGACAUCUAUCGAUGAUCUUCCAACCUUCCUCAGUGGUCACACAUCUCCUGAGUAAGCCAUCAGAGCAUACUCGGAAGAGGUAUGGCUCAUCCCAUAUAUGUGAACGACUUUCUUGAAUAAGCUUCUUCUUGUUUGCUCCUGGUGGUACAUACCCUGAAACCAUAAAAUUAACAAUAUCUGCAUACCAGGGGUCAGACCUGUUAAUCCCGUAGAGCAUGUCGUCCCGGAGUGAAUCAUUGAUGGGGGUUUCCUGUGGACUCUUAAAAUACAUUCUAGACAAGUGAUCAGCAAUAGAAUUUUAUACUCCCUUUUUAUCUUUUAUUUCUAAGUCAAAAUCUUGGAGUAAUAAGAUCCAUCUAAUCAGGGGAGGUUUAGCAUCUUUUUUAGUGAGCAAAUAUUUUAGUGCAGCAUGAUCAGUGUAAACAAUUAUUUUAGCUCCAACUAAAUAAGAUCUAAAUUUAUCAAUGGCAAAGACAACAGCCAGAAGCUCUUUUUCAGUGGUUGCAUAAUUAAGUUGAGCUCCUGUCAAAGUUUUACUGGCAUAAGCAAUUGCAUGAUGCUUCUUAUUUUUAGUUUGUCCCAAAACUGCCCCCACAGCAUAAUCACUAGCAUCACACAUAAUUUCAAAAGGCAACGACCAAUCAGAGGGUUGAAUAAUUGGUGUAGAGAUGAGUGCUUUCUUUAAUAAAUUAAAAGAUGUUAGACAUGCAUCAUCAAAUUCGAAAGGAGCAUCCUUGGCUAGCAAAAGAGUAAGUGGUCUAGCAAUGAAUGAGAAAUCUUUUAUAAAUCUACAAUAAAAACCAGCAUGGCCAAAAAAGCUUCAAAUUCCUUUUAUAUUCACAGGUGGAGGUAGUUGUUCAAUUACUUCAAUUUUAGCUUUGUCUACCUCAAUACCUCUUUCAGACACUAAGUGUCCCAGCACUAUUCCUUCUCUAACCAUAAAAUGACAUUUUUCCCAAUUAAGGACUAAGUGCUUUUCUUCACAUCUUUGCAAAACCUUGUCUAAGUUUUCUAGACAACUAUCAAAAGUUUUUCCAUAAACAGAGAAAUCAUCCAUGAAAACUUCCAUAAUCUCUUCAAUCAUAUCAGAAAAUAUAGACAUCAUGCAUCUUUGAAAAGAAGCUGGUGCAUUACAUAACCCAAAAGACAUUCUACGGUAAGCAUAAGUUCCAUAUGGGCAUGUAAAAGUGGUUUUGCUUUGAUCAUCAGGAUGGAUCGGGAUUUGGUGAUACCCUGAAUAUCCAUCUAAGAAACAGAAGAACGAAUGGUUUGCUAACCGCUCUAGCAUCUCAUCUAUGAAAGGUAAAGGAAAGUGAUCCUUUCUCGUGGCUUUGUUUAGUUUUCUAUAGUCUAUGCACAUCCGCCCUCCUGUGACGGUGCGUUGCGGAAUUAGCUCGUUCUUUUCAUUCAUAAUAACAGUCAUGCCUCCCUUUUUAGGCACAACUUGCACUGGGCUUACCCACUCACUGUGCGGCACAGGAUAUAUAAUCCCUGCAUGCAGCAACUUUAUAACUUCCUUUUUAACUACGUCUCUCAUAGUGUUAUUAAGUCUAUGUUGGGGUUCUCGAGAGGGUGAAACAGAAGGAUCUGUUGGAAUACGAUGGGUACAAAUCAUAGGACUGAUUCCUGUAAGAUCUUGGAGUGAGUAGCCGAAAACUGAGUGAUGUUUCUCAAGAAUAGUCAUUAAUCACAGAGUUUGGUCCAGAGUGAGUUUAUUGCUAAUGAUCACAGGAAACUCUGGAUUAUUGUUUAGGAAAGCAUAGUUAAGACCGGGUGGUAAAGUUUUAAGCUCUAUGGGGGGUCUAGGUGUUUCUGCAAACUCAUCUAAGGGUUCUGGUUCAGAAGGUUCGGCUUCUUCUUCUGUGAAGAACAGAGUUUCGUCUUCUAAGUCUGAUUCUUCUAAAAGCUCUAGAGAUGCAGCCUUUACCUCCUCCAUAGGAUCAGGCAAAAGAUAUGAUUCGGCCUUAUUGUUUAAGGAGUGUGAAAUUGUUAUUGGGAAUUUAAAGGCUUUUCCAAAAGAAAUGUUUAGCUUUCCAGUAUGACCUUCAUAAAGGAGUCUUCUAAAAGGUUGUCCUAUCAACAGGUCGAAGUCCCAUGUAUCAAAGAUAUAGAAGUUCAAAUGAACCAUGGAGCCUUCUACCAUAAGAGGUAGGACAUUAAUAAUUCCAAGACUGGGGACUAAUCGUCAAGAAGAUUCCUUUAUGACCUUUGUUGUGGGGGUUAAGACAAGAUUUUUAAAUAGUUUAAGUGCAAAAGAUUUAGACAUGAUGUUGAUCCCCAUAACAGGAUUAUAAAGAGCAUUAAAUCGAUCAAAAUUAUAAGCACAGCGUAUAGUUAUAGAGGGUGUGUCCAAACGGAUCACAUCAGAGGAAAGCUCUGACUCCUCCAACCAUUCGCUACUCAUGACUGAGAUAAGCUCUCUCAAUUGGUAUUCACUUGGCAAAUAAAUGCUAAACUGGCCGUUUUGGGGUUUGUCAAUAGAAUGGUAGUUUGAAAUGUUUCCAAAAUCGGCAAAAAGAUCGGAUUCUAUAUCCAGCAUGAAGUCCGGUGGUGGAAUUUCUUCCUCUUGUGGCUUAGAACUUGGGAUAGCUAAAGUAGAUGAAGAAUUUGGCAGAGUGUCUACUUUAGCUUCGUAGGUUUCAUCAUGAAGGCUAUUAUCCAUCUCAGCUUCUAGGAUUCUAUCUAGGAUCACUCUAGCUUCAUCAGUAGGGAUGCGAAAGAAAGAACCUCUAGACAUUGUGUGUAGCAUUUGUUUGUGAUUUUUCUGAAGACCUCGAAAAAAGUGAAAUAAAAGAACAGGGUCUUCAAGAUUAAGGUUUGGUCUAGAUUCUAAAAGAUCAGAAAAAUUUUUCCAGGAUUUUCCCAAAGUUUCAUUAUCUUUUUGCUUAAAAGAUAGGACUUCGAGUCUAAGGUCGGCUAUACGGUCGAGGGAAUAGAAAUCUAGACAAAAGUUGGCUCGUAAAACUCCCCAUUCACCUCGUUGUUGACUUACCUUCUGACUGUACCAUUGUCUAGCUUCUCCCCUUAAGGAAAAAGGAAAAAGCUUCCAACGUAAAGUUUUAUCAGAAAUGCCUUCAAUGCGAAGACAAUCACGUGUUUGCUCAAAAUCUCUAAUAUGAAGGUAAGGGUUUUCGUCUUCCUUUCCCGAAAAAGAUAGGUUUUGAAUCAUGGCAAUCAACCUAGAACUUAACUUAUACUGGGAUGUUUGGAUAGGCUGUGAUGACUCCCAUGGUAAAAGGUCAGUUACUGAAGGGAUUGCAGAUUCAUGGAUCGAUUUAGAAUUUUGGUUUUCCAUAAGGUAAGAGUAAAGAAAAUAAAUACAGAAUAUAAAAGAUAAGAAAAGAUAAAAGUAUAGAUACAAGUUAGUAGUAAGACUCAAGGUUAUCUCAGCAAACCGUCUUUCUCCCCGGCAACGGCGCGAGAAAUGCUUGUUGAUAUUUGGGAACGCAAUAAGAAUUGAUCCGCAAGCGCACGGAUAUCGGUGAGCACUUCACCCGGGAGGUUAUCUAGAGUAUCGUAUUUAUUUUUUUACCACUAGGAGAAAGAGUGCAUCUGACUAACCGGUCUACUACUACUAACCCUUUAGGCAACAAAGAAUAUCUCUCGAUGUGAGUGCCAAAUAGAGAAGACUGCAACCAUAGUCUCCUUCUAACCUUGGUAAGGAUGAUCUACUCUUCUAUUGGGGAGGCUAACGGAAUCUAGACACCACAAAGGAUGUUCAACCCGCACCUAUAAACCCUAUCCUUCCUGUUAACGAGAUAUGGUCUGCAAAGGUAACUUGGAAUUGUCACGUUCCUCACUACUACCACGAUCUAGCUAGUCAGGGAAUAUCUAUGAGUACCCGAGCCUAAACACCACGUUUACGCCAGCAAUGGUUACUCUAAACUCUACGCGAAGAGAUUAAAGUAAACUCAUAAACCAGAAGAACAAUAAAACAAGAACUUACUAGAAUUUAGAAGUUGAAAUACUGAAGAAUCCUAGGAGCAAGCUUCGGGUUAGGAGAACUUGAUCCCGUAGUUACAAGCUUGGAGUAGACACCGGCAGGCCGGGCUUCCUCCAAUCUACACCUCCACUCUAUCUCUCUCAAUCUAGUAGAAACUAGAAGAUCUAUUUCUACUUUACAUUGGUUGCUAAGCCUAAAAAGAAAUAUUAAUUAGAGAAGAGGUUUUCCUUCGAGGGCACCCCUCAAUCUCUAUGAUAAUUUCCUGUCUCCUCCAGGGGCCAGGGGGGUCUCCUUAUAUAGUCCUCCUCCUCUAUGCGUUUUUGGGCCGGUAGGCGAGGUGGUACUACAUUAUCCUUGAUCCAAUAGGUCGGUGGAACAUCGUGUGCGAAGAGAGUCCCGAACGGGAUCCAGCAGGGGGCGGGCGCCCAGGUCACCAGGGCGGGCGCCCUGGGCCUGGCCCCUUUCGGCCUCUGCUUCAUUCUCGUGGCUUCUGGAGUCUUCUAGAUGGUAGAAAAUCGCGCGGUGCGUUGAUAUCUCUAUGUAAUCCCGACAUGUGGGCUUUUCUUCCUUAUUUCCUGAUAACCCCCUGCAGAAACAGAUAAACAACAAAACUCGUGGAAUUCUGUCAGAUCAAACCCUAAUUCUAGGUGUUGGUUGCAUAUUGGUCCUUUCUCUUGUUUAUUUGAUAAUUAAAAUUGAUACUUAAGAACCGUCAACACUCCCUGAUCCAUGGCAGCAAAGGGUUGGCCCUAGAAGGCCGGCUCAAGAGGAUUUAAUCCCAUUAUACAUCACAGGCCCUAGAAGGACAAGGUUUUAUGGUUGAUCAACUGGCCCCGAGCUACAGCCUUGAGCUCAUGAUCACCUAGCCUGGCAAGAUCUGAUCGAAAGGAGGGCCUUUAGUUGGCGGCUCCUAGAUGAGCCAGCCAAGCCCUCACUCGAGCUGAAGACCCAAGCACCUUGGACUAGUGAGGGAGCCAACACUAACACUUGCCCUCAGCCACCAAGCCAAAGCUCCUUCAUGUUUUGUAGGUGAAGUCCUCAAGCAAGGGGAGACCUCUCUUGGUCAGCAGAAUCAUCCCUGCAAAGGAGGGUUCAAUCACCAUGAGACCAAAGUCAGCCUUUCAUCGCCAUCAUGGUAACUGAGGCCACAAAGGGCUCAAGGGCUCUUGUCAAGAUCAUAAACAUCCAGGUAUGUCUAAAUCUUAAUUUUAGAUGGUUCCUGAUCAUCUAGAGACCCCUAGCCUAUCCCUCUAGGAUAGCCUCGGGGCUAGGGGUUAUGCCCAUUAGGCAGACCUAGGCAUGCCCUUGGGACAAUGGAUCUAGCCAUGCCUGGCCCCACAACACCUUUGGGUUGAGGCUUAGGGGCUGCACCAAGCCAUGGCCACUUGAUCUACAUUGCCACCAUGCCUGGCCCUUGGAUCCUACCCCACCUACUGAAGCUAGCCAAGGCCUAGGCUCAAGAUGACGAGCACCUAGGCUACCGAUGCUCGGGGUCUCGCCGAUGAUGCUCUCAAGGUGUGUCCCUACCAGUUGCUCCUCUAACAGGGUCACGUCUAGGGCAUGACACCAAAAGACAAAUCCCCAUCAUCCUCCAGGGGCUAGUUGGCCUCUAAGCCUACAUGUCAGCCUCUAGAGCUAACCUCCCCCACUACUAGGAAGACUCUAGAAGGUCUCACCUAGGGAGGCCAGUCCAAGCUGACAAGACCUAACACUCGGUGGUCAAGAUAGAACAGCUAGACAACACCCAGGCUUCAUCAGUGCCAAGACAUCUCCUCGGUCCACGACGCUCCACUGCAAGGCCUCCAUGGACUCUGGUGCAUGUUUACCAUAAGCUAGAAACCACAACCACCUUGUACCCAACCCCUCCUAUUAUAUAUAAGGGACAGGAUCAGCCCUUCAUGGGGAUCUUGAAUCUUUCCAACACCAAACUGCCUUCUCUAUUCUAGUCACCCAGAGUAGAGCAACCCAUGGGGAAGCUCUGGCAGUUCCUCCACCGUCACCUUCCUCUCCAGCAAGGGGAGACAUUUCUAGUAGUGUGGUACACCACCACCUUAGGACUAGCAUCGAGCUAGCCCCUACCAAAACUCAUCCUUUCACACCGAUUGUAACCCCCUAGAUCCUUGGUGUUCUUGAGUACAAGGAUCAUCAGCUGCUAGAUGUAGGGACUGACUUGGCCUAAACCACGAUAAAUCUCUACGUCUCCCAUGUGUUUCUUGAGUUCUUGAGUUCACCUGAGUCACUGUAUUCGUCGUGCGACGACACCAUCCGAACAAUAUGCUUGUCGUGGUUUUAACCCCGUGAUAGAUAGCCCUAGACAAGUGCAUAUGGUCUUCUUCCCAAAUCAAAAGCUUUCCAAAUGGUGAAAUGGCCUUUUUUAGCAAAGGUUGGAUCCAAUAAUCAAUAUCAAGCCUAGGAGGAUUAGCUAGACCUUAUGAUUCAUAAUAGCAGUAUGUCUAUUCCAAGUCCAGUUAUGUGUAACAAAGGAAAUAGUGAAAUUGCCAUAUAGGUGGGGGCUCUAGUGAAUGAGAAAGUCUCCAACAUGCAUAUAGUUAAAUCACACCGUCAGGGCAUAGCUGCAAUGAAUAGUAGCCAACCCGCAUCUAAUUAUGGAGGAAAUCAUUAAUGAUGUUAUGUAUGACUAAAAAAUCAAAACCUGCCCUAGCGAGAGCGAAUGCAGAGUGAUAAUGGCUAGAUCACUAUUCUUUUUUGGCAUCUAACCCAUGAUGAUCUACAACUCCCUUGGUCUUCCUUGCACCAUGACCCAUUGCCCUAGUGUGCCAUAAACAGAGUGGGAUCAACCAUAUGAAAAGCCAUUGAUCGUUGUGAAAAAAGGGGAGAUGUUAAUGUAGCUAGGAUUUUCUCUGUUCAAGAAAUGUGUAGUAAGGGAGGAAAGGUAGGAGAACCCUGAGCAAGGGAAGCGAACACACUAAAUGAUGAGUAGACUAGCGGAGGGGAGACAAUAGACAUGAUCACCUGCAAGGAUGUCAGUGAACUCUCCAAUGUUUCGUCAUUGAACUCCAACGCCAUGAUACGCUAGGCCUGAGACCAACAAAUGAGAGAAGAGGGAGGCGGAGUAACGUGUCCCUAGUGAUCUUUUGCCCCCCGUAGUUCGUGAAACAGCCUGAGCGACAGGAUGAGAAGUUGGAAAGCCAUGAUUGAGUCAUCCCAUGGAAGGGGAUGGAGAAUGAAGUGGGAAUUGACAAUUCAAUCGGUGUGUCUUGAGUGAUGACAGUUCUGGCAAUGGAUGGGGUUUGGGUAGAAAGGCCUAGUAUGGGCCGAGGAGAAACAUUUGGAACAUGGGCUAGGGGAUAGCAUGGCAUGCAAAACCUUCGCAAGAGUGCCAUUAGCCCAAUGGAAGACCCCCUUUGAUUUGGGCAACAUUUUGGAAGGCCCAACAGGAAAAUGGCCAUUACCAAAAAUUAGCUAGAAAAAUCGACUAUCUAGCCGGAGACAAUAAAAAAUGAGUGUGGAGGGAGUAAACCAGCAGCACCUUCCACAUAUAUCAGUAGGGUAAGUAAUCCUAAUUGCACCAAUUUUGGGUGGCACCAGUCGCGUGCACCAACUCUGCCAUCUUAUACCUUGCCUCAAAAAUCAGCUUGCUCAUACCUAUGCGGCAAGGAAAUUUUGUUCCUUUUGGUGCAACCUCAGGGCACGCCUUUUCUUGCACUAGAAUAUCGCAGGCCAAAUUAAAACUCCAUACAACCUACCAAACAGAGAUAGUUGCAGCAUAUAAGUCUGGCUAGAGGCAUAUGUCUAGGUUACCAAUUAGGCUUGAAGGUGGUCAUAAAAGUAGAGUGCGCAUGAGCAUGUAUAUGAGCCUCUAUGUUUAUACUAUGUUUCAAAAAAAUAUCAAGGAAAUUUUUCAGAAAUGUUUGGUCCCAGUGAACUAAUGAAUAAUGCAUGUAAGGUACUUUGAUAUAAUAUUUGCACGAAUCAUUGCAACAUUGUAGUUGCCGCUAGGUACUUUGAUCCUUUAGCUGCCUUAUAUUGCUGUAUGCUUUAUCCAAUUUCUUCACAUUGUACUUUUUUUGGUUCAGUACUACAUGAACUUGCACAAAAAUAGGCCUCCCAUCGUCAGGAGCUCCUUCAUGAGUAUCACAGCUUAGUACCAUUAAGCCAACGGCUAUAGAAAGCCAAUGAUUCCUGUGGUUUAUACUCAGGA